rnacentral:rRNA from 1 species
GGCGGACGGGUGAGGAAUACAUCGGAAUCUACUUUUUCGUGGGGGAUAACGUAGGGAAACUUACGCUAAUACCGCAUACGACCUACGGGUGAAAGCAGGGGAUCUUCGGACCUUGCGCGAUUGAAUGAGCCGAUGUCGGAUUAGCUAGUUGGCGGGGUAAAGGCCCACCAAGGCGACGAUCCGUAGCUGGUCUGAGAGGAUGAUCAGCCACACUGGAACUGAGACACGGUCCAGACUCCUACGGGAGGCAGCAGUGGGGAAUAUUGGACAAUGGGCGCAAGCCUGAUCCAGCCAUACCGCGUGGGUGAAGAAGGCCUUCGGGUUGUAAAGCCCUUUUGUUGGGAAAGAAAUCCAGCUGGCUAAUACCCGGUUGGGAUGACGGUACCCAAAGAAUAAGCACCGGCUAACUUCGUGCCAGCAGCCGCGGUAAUACGAAGGGUGCAAGCGUUACUCGGAAUUACUGGGCGUAAAGCGUGCGUAGGUGGUCGUUUAAGUCCG